rnacentral:rRNA from 1 species
UACAGGGGGGUGCAAACGUUGCUCGGAAUCAUUGGGCGUAAAGCGCACGUAGGCGGUUCGUUAUGUCGGAUGUGAAAACCUGAGGCUCAACCUCAGGCCUGCAGUCGAUACGGGCGGACUUGAGUACUGCAGGGGAGACUGGAAUUCCUGGUGUAGCGGUGAAAUGCGCAGAUAUCAGGAGGAACACCGGUGGCGAAGGCGGGUCUCUGGGCCGAUACUGACGCUGAGGAGCGAAAGCGUGGGGAGCAAACAGG